rnacentral:rRNA from 1 species
CGUCUAUAUACGUAUAGCAUAUCAAUAAGCGGAGGAAAAGAAACUAACAAGGAUUCCCUUAGUAACGGCGAGUGAAGCGGGAAGAGCUCAAAUUUGAAAUCUUCAAGGUUCUACCUUGACGAAUUGUAGUUUAUAGAAGUGUUUUCUGUUAGUAGAGUGGCAAAAGUUCUUUGGAAUAGGACGUCAUAGAGGGUGAGAAUCCCGUAUUUGGUCAUUCUUUCUAGCUUUGUGAUACACUUUCAAUGAGUCGGAUUGUUUGGGAAUGCAGUCCAAAAUGGGUGGUAAAUUUCAUCUAAAGCUAAAUAUUGGCGAGAGACCGAUAGCGAACAAGUACCGUGAGGGAAAGAUGAAAAGAACUUUGAAAAGAGAGUUAAACAGUACGUGAAAUUGUCAAAAGGGAAGCGUUUGACACCAGUGUUGUUUUCUCGAAAAUCAAUACAUGAUGGCUUGAUGCUAGGUUGUUAAGACUUUAUCAGCUUACUGUCUAGUUUUCUUGUCUUUGUGAAUGCACUUUUCGUUUAACAAGUCAACAUCAAUUUCUUUUGCUGUAAAAGGGUAAGAGGAAGGUGGCUUCAGCUUCGGGUGAAGUGUUUAUAGCCUUUUACCUCUGCAGUCGGAGAGAUUGAGGUCUGCAGCGUAGACUCCUUCGGGGCUAGAUACACUUGUGCUAAGUUAUAGCUUUUCAUAGGACAACUUGUUGACUAUGUUUAGUCUUGUAGCUUACUCGCUGACGUACUAUUUUACCUACGCUUAGGAUGUUGACACACGCGCGUGCUCG